rnacentral:lncRNA from 1 species
CUUUCCUCUGCUGGCUGUUCCAUUCAAGGCUUCAACAGAUUGGACAAUGAUACCCAGCACACUGGGAGGGCAAUCUACUGUAGUGAAUUAUCCAAUUCCAAUGCUAAUCUCUUCCAUGAACACCCUCUCAGACACACUAGAAAUAAUGAUUUGUCUGGGCACACCAAACCUCAGUCAUGUUAAUGGAUGAAAUGAACCAUUACAUCCUCUUUUCUGAAUUUACCAUGAAAUUGUAUGAGGUGAAAUAUGUAAAGUGCUUGGUAUGAUACCUUGUACAUAAUAAGUAUUAUGAUGAUUGUGAGGCUUUCCCAGUCACAUGGAACUUUGAUAGUCAUUCUCCUCAAGAAGAGAAAUAAUUUGGGAAAUGAUGCGGAAUGAGACUACCUUACUGAUUUUAAUCCAAAAGAUGCCUUGAGGUGAAACGUGCCUGAGGGUCCCUGCUGAUAGUUUAUACUCUAUCAGCCUUUCCACUGUCUCUCCUAAUCAGCAGUUUCAUCUAUUCUCCAUGGGUCUCACUGUCACCCAGGCUAUAGUGCAGUGGCAUGAUCUGGGCUCACUGCAACUUCUUCUUCCCCGGCUCAUGCAAUCUUCCCACCUCAGCCUCUGGAAUGUAUGGGACUACAGGCAUGCACCACAAAGCCUGGCCAGUUUUUUGUAUUUUUUGUAAAGAUGGGGUCUUGCCAUGUUACCCAGACUGAUCUCAAAUUCCUGACUCAAGCAAUCUGCCUGUUUCGGCCUUCCAAAGUGUUGGGAUUGCCCGCUUGAACCACAGCGCCAGGCUUCCUCUUAGUUUUAAAUGCACACAUCAGUUGUGUAGUAAAGGAAUUUUUUUUCCUCUAUUAUCUCUUGACCUAAGAUUCUUUGGCUUUAG